UGUUUGAUGUUCUAACGUGGACCCGUGAUCCGGGUUGCGGACAGUGUCUGGUGGGUAGUUUGACUGGGGCGGUCUCCUCCUAAAGAGUAACGGAGGAGCACGAAGGUUGGCUAAUCCUGGUCGGACAUCAGGAGGUUAGUGCAAUGGCAUAAGCCAGCUUGACUGCGAGCGUGACGGCGCGAGCAGGUGCGAAAGCAGGUCAUAGUGAUCCGGUGGUUCUGAAUGGAAGGGCCAUCGCUCAACGGAUAAAAGGUACUCCGGGGAUAACAGGCUGAUACCGCCCAAGAGUUCAUAUCGACGGCGGUGUUUGGCACCUCGAUGUCGGCUCAUCACAUCCUGGGGCUGAAGUAGGUCCCAAGGGUAUGGCUGUUCGCCAUUUAAAGUGGUACGCGAGCUGGGU
rnacentral:rRNA from 1 species